rnacentral:lncRNA from 1 species
CCGCAGGUGGCAACGCCUCCCCCUCCCCCACCUCGGUGGCGGCGGUGGGGGUUGUCACCCGGCGGGGACGGUGUCACCGUUUCUUGACCCCCCGACCCCCCCAUUGUCACCCCAUUGAGGGACAUUGUCACCGUUUGGGGACGGUGUCAUCGUUUCUUGACCCCAUUGUCACCCAUUGAGGGACAUUGUCACCCAUUGAGGGACACUGUUCCCAUUUGGGGAACAUUGUCAUCGUUUGGGGACGGUGUCACCAUUUCUUGACCCCAUUGUCACCCAAUUGAGGGACAUUGUCACCGUUUGGGGACGGUGUCACCGUUUCUUGACCCCAUUGUCACCCAUUGAGGGACAUUGUCACCCCAUUGAGGGACAUUGUCACCGUUUGGGGACGGUGUCCCCAUUUCUUGACCCCAUUGUCACCCAUUAAGGGACAUUGUCACCCCAUUGUGGGACAUUGUCACCGUUUGGGGACGGUGUCACCAUUUCUUGACCCCAUUGUCACCCCAUUGAGGGACAUUGUCACCAUUUGGGGACGGUGUCCCCAUUUCUUGACCCCAUUGUCACCCAUUGAGGGACAUUGUCACCCCUUUUGGGACAUUGUCACCCCUUUGUGGAACAUUGUCACCAUUUGGGGACGGUGUCACCGUUUCUUGACCCCAUUGUCACCCCAUUGUGGGACACUGUCACCAUUUGGGGACAGUGUCAUCGUUUCUUGACCCCAUUGUCA